AGCGAACGUUAGCGGCACGCCUAACACAUGCAAGUCGCACGAGAAAGGGAGCAAUCCUGAGUAGAGUGGCGCACGGGUGCGUAACACGUAGAUAACCUGCCCUUUGGAGGGGGAUAACGUUCCGAAAGGAGCGCUAAUACCGCAUAACGCUGCGAGGGGUUUGCCUCUUGCAGACAAAGGUAGGGACCCGCAAGGGCCUAUCGCCAGAGGAGGGGUCUGCGGCCCAUCAGCUAGUUGGUGAGGUAAUGGCUCACCAAGGCAGAGACGGGUAGCUGGUCUGAGAGGAUGAUCAGCCACACUGGUACUGGAACACGGACCAGACUCCUACGGGUGGCAG
rnacentral:rRNA from 1 species